AUGGAGAUGGUGGAGAAGCUUUCUCUCACCACAAGACCACAUCCACAUCCUUACUACAUCCAAUGGUUCAACAACAGCGGCAAGGUUAAGGUAACACGUACUGUUCGUGUGCAUUUUAGUAUCUCUACAUAUGCUGAUUAUGUUGAUUGUGAUGUGGUACCUAUGCAAGCAUGUUCCUUAUUACUUGGUAGACCAUGGCAAUUUGAUAAAAAUUCUGUACACCAUGGUAGAAACAAUCACUAUACUCUUGUUCAUAAGGAUAAAAAUAUUACUUUGCUUCCUAUGACUCCUGAUUCCAUUUUGAAAGAUGAUAUUAAUAGAGCUAAUAAAGCACAACAGGAGAAGAAUAAGAGUGAAAAUCAGAUUGUGGCAAAAGAAUUUGAGCAACAAAUGAAGCCUAAUAAUAAACCAUCUAGUGUUGCUUCUGAAAUUAAAUUGAAAAGUGCAUGUUUAUUUGCCACCAAAUCUGAUAUUGAUGAGCUAGAUUUUAGCAAAUCUGUUUGCUAUGCUUUUGUGUGCAAAGAGGCAUUAUUUUAA
rnacentral:rRNA from 1 species